rnacentral:rRNA from 1 species
GAUGAACGCUGGCGGCGUGCCUAAUACAUGCAAGUCGAGCGAACGGACGAGAAGCUUGCUUCUCUGAUGUUAGCGGCGGACGGGUGAGUAAAACGUGGAUAACCUACCUAUAAGACUGGGAUAACUUCGGGAAACCGUAGCUAAUACCGGAUAAUAUUUUGAACCGCAUGGUUCAAAAGUGAAAGACGGUCUUUCUGUCACUUAUAGAUGGAUCCGCGCUGCAUUAGCUAGUUGGUAAGGUAACGGCUUACCAAGGCAACGAUGCAUAGCCGACCUGAGAGGGUGAUCGGCCACACUGGAACUGAGACACGGUCCAGACUCCUACGGGAGGCGGCAGUAGGGAAUCUUCCGCAAUGGGCGAAAGCCUGACGGAGCAACGCCGCGUGAGUGAUGAAGGUCUUCGGAUCGUAAAACUCUGUUAUUAGGGAAGAACAUAUGUGUAAGUAACUGUGCACAUCUUGACGGUACCUAAUCAGAAAGCCACGGCUAACUACGUG